rnacentral:rRNA from 1 species
AGUCGAACGCGAAAGGGGCUUCGGCCCUGAGUAGAGUGGCGAACGGGUGAGUAACACGUGGGUGAUCUACCUUCAAGUGGGGGAUAACGUCCCGAAAGGGACGCUAAUACCGCAUGACGUUCUGGGUUUGAAGACCUGGAAACCAAAGCCGGGGACCGCAAGGCCUGGCGCUAGAAGAGGAGCCCGCGCCUGAUUAGCUAGUUGGCGGGGUAACGGCCCACCAAGGCGACGAUCAGUAGCCGGCCUGAGAGGGCGGACGGCCACGCUGGGACUGAGACACGGCCCAGACUCCUGCGGGAGGCAGCAGUGGGGAAUUGUUCGCAAUGGGCGUAAGCCUGACGACGCAACGCCGCGCGGAGGAUGAAGGUCUUCGGAUUGUAAACUCCUGUUGAUCGGGACGAACGGGCUCCGGCCUAACACGCCGGAGUAAUGACGGUACCGAUUGAGGAAGCCACGGCUAACUCUGUGCCAGCAGCCGCGGUAAUACAGAGGUGGCAAGCGUUGUUCGGAAUUACUGGGCGUAAAGGGCGCGUAGGUGGCCUUCUUAGUCAGACGUGAAAUCCCCGGCUUAACUCGGGAACUGCGUCUGACACUGGAAGGCUCGAGUUCGGGAGAAGAAUGUGGAAUU